rnacentral:rRNA from 1 species
UACGGAGGGUGCAAGCGUUAUCCGGAUUUACUGGGUUUAAAGGGUGCGUAGGUGGGUAGGUAAGUCAGUGGUGAAAUCUCCGGGCUUAACCCGGAAACUGCCAUUGAUACUAUUUAUCUUGAAUACUUUGGAGGUAAGCGGAAUAUGUCAUGUAGCGGUGAAAUGCUUAGAUAUGACAUAGAACACCAAUUGCGAAGGCAGCUUACUGCACAGUGAUUGACACUGAGGCACGAAAGCGUGGGGAUCAAACAGG